UACUCGAGUGGCGAACGGGUGAGUAACACGUGGGUGAUCUGCCCUGCACUUCGGGAUAAGCUUGGGAAACUGGGUCUAAUACCGGAUAGGAGCCAUCUUUAGUGUGGUGGUUGGAAAGUUUUUUCGGUGUAGGAUGAGCUCGCGGCCUAUCAGCUUGUUGUGGGGUAACGGCCUACCAAGGCGGCGACGGGUAGCCGGCCUGAGAGGGUGUACGGCCACAUUGGGACUGAGAUACGGCCCAG
rnacentral:rRNA from 1 species